rnacentral:rRNA from 1 species
GAUGAACGCUGGCGGCGUGCCUAAUACAUGCAAGUCGAGCGAAUGGAUUGAGAGCUUGCUCUUAUGAAGUUAGCGGCGGACGGGUGAGUAACACGUGGGUAACCUGCCCAUAAGACUGGGAUAACUCCGGGAAACCGGGGCUAAUACCGGAUACCAUUUUGCACCGCAUGGUUCGAAAUUGAAAGGCGGCUGCGGCUGUCACUUAUGGAUGUACCCGCGUCGAAUUAGCUAGUUGGUGAGGUAACGGCACACCAAGGCAACGAUGCGUGGCAGACCUGAGAGGGUGAUCGGCCACACUGGGACUGAGACACGGCCCAGACUCCUACGGGAGGCAGCAGUAGGGAAUCUUCCGCAAUGGACGAAAGUCUGACGGAGCAACGCCGCGUGAGUGAUGAAGGCUUUCGGGUCGUAAAACUCUGUUGUUAGGGAAGAACAAGUGCUAGUUGAAUAAGCUGGCACCUUGACGGUACCUAACCAGAAAGCCACGGCUAACUACGUGCCAGCCGCCGCGGUAA